rnacentral:rRNA from 3 species
UCUUCGGAGAGUUUGAUCCUGGCUCAGGAUGAACGCUGGCGGCGUGCCUAAUACAUGCAAGUCGAGCGAACUGAU